UAGAAAAGGAAAGAGAUUCCUCCCAGG
rnacentral:piRNA from 1 species